rnacentral:ncRNA from 18 species
GCGAGCAGGAGCGCAGAAGUUCGUUCUGCUCGUCCACACGGGGGAACACCGGUGAAAGUCCGGGGCUGUGCCGCAACUGUGACGUCGCACCAGUCGGUGCGACGAAGCCAGGUCUACCGUCGCCGCCGUGUCCGAC